GUCCCAGUUCGGACUGGAGUCUGCAACCCGACUCCACGAAGUUGGAUUCGCUAGUAAUCGCGCAUCAGCCAUGGCGCGGUGAAUACGUUCCCGGGCCUUGUACACACCGCCCGUCAAGCCAUGGGAGCCGGGGGCGCCUGAAGUCCGGGACCGCGAGGACCGGCCUAGGGCGAAACUGGUAACUGGGGCUAAGUCGUAACAAGGUACC
rnacentral:rRNA from 1 species